UCUUAUAGAAAAUAAUUUUAAGUCUAAUCUGCUCCAUGAUAUUAAUAUUUAAAUAGCUGCAGUAUCCUGACUGUACAAAGGUAGCAUAAUCAAUAGUUUUUUAAUUAAAAGCUGGAAUGAAUGAUUUGAUAAGGUGAUUAUUGUCUCAAAUUUAGUAAAAUUAGAAUUUUUUUUGUUAGUUAAAAAGCUUUCAUAAAUUAAAAAGACAAGAAGACCCUAUAGAUUUUUAUAUUUUAAAAUAAUUUAAAAAAAAUUAAUUUAUUUAAAAGAUAUUAGAUUGGGGAAAUUAUUAAAUUAAUAAAAUUUUAAUAUAGUAUUAUGACAAUAAUUAUUGAUUAGUUGAUCUUAUUAUAUAAAUUAAGAGAAUAAAAUACCUUAGGGAUAACAGCGUAAUUUUUUUGGAAAGAUCAAAUUGAUAAAAAAGAUUGCGACCUCGAUGUUGAAUUAAGAUAAAAUUUUAAAGUAGAAAUUAAAAAUUUUUAGUCUGUUCGACUAUUAAAAUCUUACGU
rnacentral:rRNA from 1 species